CUGCGUACCUUUUGUAUAAUGGGUCAGCGACUUAUAUUCUGUAGCAAGGUUAACCGAAUAGGGGAGCCGGAGGGAAACCGAGUCUUAACCGGGCGUUAAGUUGCAGGGUAUAGACCCGAAACCCGGUGAUCUAGCCAUGGGCAGGUUGAAGGUUGGGUAACACUAACUGGAGGACCGAACCGACUAAUGUUGAAAAAUUAGCGGAUGACCUGUGGCUGGGGGUGAAAGGCCAAUCAAACCGGGAGAUAGCUGGUUCUCCCCGAAAGCUAUUUAGGUAGCGCCUCGUGAAUUCAUCUCCGGGGGUAGAGCACUGUUUCGGCUAGGGGGCCAUCCCGGCUUACCAACCCGAUGCAAACUGCGAAUACCGGAGAAUGUUAUCACGGGAGACACACGGCGGGUGCUAACGUCCGUCGUGAAGAGGGAAACAACCCAGACCGCCAGCUAAGGUCCCAAAGUCAUGGUUAAGUGGGAAACGAUGUGGGAAGGCCCAGACAGCCAGGAUGUUGGCUUAGAAGCAGCCAUCAUUUAAAGAAAGCGUAAUAGCUCACUGGUCGAGUCGGCCUGCGCGGAAGAUGUAACGGGGCUAAACCAUGCACCGAAGCUGCGGCAGCGACACUGUGUGUUGUUGGGUAGGGGAGCGUUCUGUAAGCCUGUG
rnacentral:rRNA from 1 species